rnacentral:rRNA from 1 species
UGGGGAAUCUUGGACAAUGGGCGCAAGCCUGAUCCAGCCAUGCCGCGUGAGUGACGAAGGCCUUAGGGUUGUAAAGCUCUUUUGGCGGGGACGAUAAUGACGGUACCCGCAGAAUAAGUCCCGGCUAACUUCGUGCCAGCAGCCGCGGUAAUACGAAGGGGACUAGCGUUGUUCGGAAUUACUGGGCGUAAAGCGCACGUAGGCGGAUUUGUAAGUCAGGGGUGAAAUCCCGGGGCUCAACCUCGGAACUGCCUUUGAUACUGCAAGUCUCGAGUCCGAUAGAGGUGGGUGGAAUUCCUAGUGUAGAGGUGAAAUUCGUAGAUAUUAGGAAGAACACCGGUGGCGAAGGCGGCCCACUGGAUCGGUACUGACGCUGAGGUGCGAAAGCGUGGGGAGCAAACA